rnacentral:rRNA from 1 species
UGGCGGACGGGUGAGUAACGCGUGGAUAAUCUGCCCGAGGAUUUGGGAUAACAUCUCGAAAGGGGUGCUAAUACCGAAUAAGCCCACGGGGUCUACGGAUCUUGCGGGAAAAGGGGGGGACCUUCGGGCCUCCUGUCCUUGGAUGAGUCUGCGUACCAUUAGCUAGUUGGUGGGGUAAUGGCCUACCAAGGCGACGAUGGUUAGCUGGUCUGAGAGGAUGAUCAGCCACACUGGAACUGAGACACGGUCCAGACUCCUACGGGAGGCAGCAGUGGGGAAUUUUGCGCAAUGGGGGAAACCCUGACGCAGCAACGCCGCGUGGGUGAUGAAGGCCUUCGGGUCGUAAAGCUCUGUCUGGAGGGAAGAAAUGAUUGGGAGCUAAUACCUCUUGAUCUUGACGGUACCUCUGAAGGAAGCACCGGCUAACUCCGUGCCAGCAGCCGCGGUAAU